UUUUCAUUUCAUUUCCUACCAGAACCCUGGAAGCUGUGCAGUUGAUCAGCUUCAAAUGACUGUUAUACUUGUAUACAUGGUAAUCAGUCAGAUGUUAGGUUCAUAUAAAGAUCUAACGCAAAACAUUAUGCUAUUGUCUCCUGUGGGGAUUUGUCAUAAGAUGAAAUUUUAACGACAUUGUGGGGUUUCAUUUUGACCUUCUCACAAUCCCACUCCAUUGACAUAUUAUGUAAAUUUUUGAGCAGAAAAGGAAGUGGACAAAGGAAGGUUUGAUUGUGGAGCACUUCGCAAUGCUGGUGAAUAUCAGCAAUAGGACGGAAUGUUCGUUUUUUAACCGAAAAGAAACGAAAAUAUUAUCGUCAGCAAGUGUCAAAAAAAGAAUUGCUGCUGGGGAUAUGAGUCCAAUUCACAAUUAUAUCACUACCGUCACCGACACGGUUAUCCACAUGAAUAACACUAAUCAUGACAUCCAGUCACAAUUUACCACCAAUUCAACUGAUGUUUGUUGAAAUGGAUUUGAGAAUAUCUGAUGACAUUGGCAGAAACAAUAUUUGCUCUGGGUGAGAUUAUUUGCAAAAUAUCUCUCUUCAUUGUUCAGAAUGUUGACAAGCUGAUUUUGCAUUCUAAUUAAACUUGGACAACAUUAGAAAGGAAUUUGCUACAUUUUCAGGCUUCGGAAUAGAUCACAGUUGGUUAAGAUAGAGGUGUAAAAACAUCAUACCUAUAUGAUACUGUUGAAAGUCAUCCUUUUAAAAAGGAUUCAACAAAAUAAAGUACCAGUCUAAAAAAUGUGGGUUGACAGAGUUGUUAGUGUCAAACUUAAAUGUAUUGCAGCAUUUAAUCAUGGUCUGAUAUAUUGAGUUUAACUUCCACUGAGGUCAACUAUGCCUUUUGUCCUUCUGGGAUAAAUAAAGUCAAUGUAAUUGACUGAUCCUUUCCCUGAAAUUUCUGGCCUUGUGUCUAAUUUUGAAGACUGAUUAAAAUUAUGUUUUAUUGAAUAAUAAAAAUAUGUUUUUGAAAUAA